rnacentral:tRNA from 1 species
UUGAUGGUGAUUCAGUGGUAGAAUUCUCACUUUCCAUGUGAGAGACCCAGGUCCAAUUCCCAGCCAAUGGA